UAAAUAUCAAAUAAUUUGAUUUGAAUUUUCACUUAUUCAAUAUAAAUAUGUAUUAUAUAUUUUAAAAUAUGUAUUUUAUAUGUGUGCAUAAUUUUUAAAUAUACAUAAGGAGAUGUCUGUGUGUGUGUGUGCAUGUGUGUGUGUGUGCACGUACAUUUAAAAUGUGGUAUUCAGGGACCAGUAGCAACUUCAUCACCUGGAAGCUUGUUAGAAAUGCAGAAUCCCAGGCCCACCUCAGACCUACAGAAUCAGGAUUUGCAUUUUAACGAGGUCCCAGGUGACUGUAUGCACAUUAAAAUUGGGACAUAUUGGCAUAUAUUCUCAUUACUACAUAGAACAAAUCAAUUAAUGAUCACAUUUUAAGAGCUGUCAAUUAAAUUGACAUUAGUCAUAAGCUUGCUACCAUUUCUUAACAUUAGUACAAAAUUUAUAAAAGCAAGAAAAUAGAAACAAAAAUCUGUGGUAUUUACAAUACGUCUAUAAGUAAGAUAUUUUAAGAUUAUAAAUAAAAAUGUGUCCCAACUUGUUCUACAAUGUAAAAUCUUUCUCUCUGGAAUAUAGACAUGUAUAAACUCCUAAAAUAAUAAUCCUUGUAAGAUGAACAGAUGGCACCAGUGCUAUAAAUAUUAGCCAAAAAUUCACAAAAUAAAUAUGCUCAAGAAAGUAUUAAGACAACCAUAUAUCAUUUUUACACAUUUGUCAGUUUUCAACUGUGUUGCCUCAAUAUUAACAAUAAUAAUGAUGUUAAUAACUAUAAUUAACACCUUAUGCAUAUUUCUAUGUUGAGCACUGCUCUACACACUACAUAAUACACUAAUUUAACCCUCACCAUAAUCGUAUGGGAUGACACUAUUAUUAUCCCCAUUUUAGAACUGAAGAAACCGAGGCACAGAAGGUUGAAGUAACUUGCCCGAGUACGUUACUUUCAUCAAGAUAAAUAUAAUUAUUUAACUAUUCCUACUAAUUUAUCAUAUUGUUCAAUUGAAAGAAUUUACUUUUUAAGAUAUGUGAUCAAUUGCAAAAAUGAUUCUAAUUCUUCAUCCUCCUCCUCCCAACCAACGACCUUUGCCAUGUAAUUUGCAGCAUUCUCUUACUUUGAACAAAGAUAAAGAAAGUAGAGGCUUAACAAGUGCUUGUGCAGCUGGGAUUGCCCUCCCUCAUGCCUGGGCUACUCUCGCUGGAGGAGAGAGAGAGUGGGGAGCAGAGCCAGGUUGAUUCAAUCAAAACUAACCUAUUCCUAGAGGUGAUCAAGUCCUGCCGAGAUCUACAGAGCCACCUAGCCAAGGCCCACUUGGUCUUAGUUUCACAAGCAAUAUGCAUACGCUUAUUGUUUUAUGCCAGGUUUUGUGGUUGUUCAUUAUACAGUUGAUAACUGAUACAUAUAAUUAUCAAUUUCACUGAAUCACUCAUUCAACUAGACAUAGAAAAUAUGUAUUUUAUGCUGCUGAUUUUUAUCUACCUCUAUACCUACAGAUAAAAAAAUAUAUAGAUGAAAGCAGUAAGGAAUUAUAUAGCCUAUCACCCUAGCAGAGGUGACACGUCUCUUAGAAGCAACAAAUAUAAGGAGCAAAAAGGUAAAGAAAAAGAAGCAUAUUUUAAAAAGAGUUUUUAAGAAAGUACCAAAAAAUUUAUAGGUACUCAAAAUGAAUCUUUCCUCCUCUUCACGCAACCUGUAUCCACCUUUUCCCCCUCACUGAUCAAUUAAAGAAACAUUGAACAAAAUAGAAAUUGGGUUGGCUUCCCUGGAUUGCCAAUUAUCCCCAUAGGAAAAAAAAAAAAAAAGCUCAUUGUUGUUAUUAACUCCCCAGGAAGGGGUAGAAUGGGAUGAGGGUGUCAUAGUGGGUGGUGGCAUGAGUAAAAAUUGAGCUCUAAGAUCAAACAUGUUUGGUCAUACAUCAGCUUCUCAAAGGUACAUUUCUUGGGCAUGUGUAGGGUAAUAUACUAACUGUAUAGAACAUUGUCUAAAAGAAAAAUGUAAAAUGGAUACUGCUUUACGUGAAAGAAAUCAAACUGUACAUAUGUAACAAAAUCAAGAGAAAGUGCUUCCAUCAGUUUUUUAAACAUUUCUGGAUUAUCUGAGUAAAUAAUGUCAACAGAGAACAAAUAUACACAGUAAUAUGCAAAACGUUUCUUUGUUUGACAAAUACUCAGGCAUCAAAGUAGAGAUUAGUGAUAGCUCAAAGCCAGAUGGUCAGUUUCGCCUCAUCCUCUAUUUUAAGGACACUUCAGACUCAGUGAUUUAUACUUUCAUUGUAACACAAAUAUCACAUUAAGCCAAAUAUAUAUAUGUAUGUGUAUUGUUAUGUGUGUAUACAUAAGUGUAUAUAUACAUAACUAUAUCAAUGAACAUUUGAAUAUUUUAGAAAUAGGGUUAUCUUAUUCAAAAGAGAAAUAAUAAAAUAUACAUUCUUCAUAGAAGUAUGAUCAAGGAACUUGUGCCUGUCUAUAGAUUUUAUUUCCCCUCUGCAAUAAAGCAAGUACAGAAAUUAUGUGAAAACAUUUAUAAACUUCUAUAGAAAUUUAACAGAAUGUUUUUUAUAUUUGUUGAAUAUAACAAUAAAAUCUCUGGGCUUUUAUUUUGUAUAUUUUUACGUUUCCUAUUAAUUGAAUUUUAUUGUAUUUUAUGAUAUUAUCUUUCUACAAAAACUGGCAAUUAAUAAAAGUACUGUCCUUCACCACAUGCAGUCUGAUGGCCACUGCUCUAUUAUACAUGGGUUUGGAUAUGAAUGUACAUCCAAUUAAAGGAGAGCUAAGGGCACCAAAUAAAUCAUCUUACUGGGAUAUGAGGAAAUUAAGCAUCUGAUAAGAAUCAGCAACACUGAAUUUGUGGAAUACAAAGGAAGCCCACAUAGUUCUGAAAUGCAAUGCUGAGGAUUAUUUUCUCUUGGUUUUGCUUUAUUAGCCGGGAACACAUCGGCCAUGAGUCCCCAGAUUCUGGCAACAACUUGUUUGAUAAUUCCAAAGGUUAACACAAAAGGACAAACAUGAAACACUGAAGAGGGAGGCCAGGAAAGCAAGAAAAGAGGCAAUACCUUCUGGGGAAAGAGAGACCCUGAGGAGGGGAGAAUGUCAACCUGUGGGUUAAAUAACUCUAACUAGAUAAAGCUGGAGCUGUGAAAGUUCACCAUGCUAUAGAUUUUGUCCUCUAAAAAUCAGCAGUGAAUUUUCAUAUUAUAUUAUGAAAUGUUAUAGAAAUUAAUGAAUUAUAUUGUCUUACUUUCCAGGUUGUUAGUUGAAAGUGUGAGACUAUAAAGUGGGAAGAAUCAUAAUAUUUGUAAUUGGUAUAUAUAUAUAUACCCACACACACACACACAUACACCAAUUGCAGUGUGUGUGUAUAUACCAAUUGGUAUAUAUAUAUAUGUAUAUGUAUAUAUUGUAUGUGUGUGUGUGUAUAUAUAUA
rnacentral:lncRNA from 10 species